rnacentral:misc_RNA from 1 species
AAGGAUAUAUUCGGAACAUCUUCUUCGAAGAUGAAAGGGAUAACGUGACAUAUUGUAUUCAGUUUUGAAUGUUUAUUAACAUUCAAAUUUGUACAUUGAAAACUAGAUAAGUAAGUAAAUAGAUUUUACCAAGCAAAACCGAGUGAAUAGAGUUUUAAAUAAGCUUGAAUUCAUAAAAAAAUCGCUAGUGUUCGAAAGAACACUCACAAGAUUAAUAACAGGUUUUCGACUUUAACUUUUAAAGAAAUCGUUGCGAUAUGAAAGCGAUUGACUAAAAGUAUGGUGGAAACAUA